rnacentral:rRNA from 1 species
AACGAACGCUGGCGGCAGGCCUAACACAUGCAAGUCGAGCGCGUCCCUUCGGGGGCGAGCGGCGCACGGGUGAGUAACGCGUGGGAACCUACCCUGGGGUAGGGAUAACCGCUGGAAACGGCGGCUAAUACCCCAUACGUCCUGAGGGAGAAAGAUUUAUCGCCCUGGGAUGGGCCCGCGUCGGAUUAGCUAGUUGGUGGGGUAACGGCUCACCAAGGCGACGAUCCGUAGCUGGUCUGAGAGGAUGAUCAGCCACACUGGGACUGAGACACGGCCCAG